GAAAAGAAGUAGGAUUGAGGAUCAAUACAUUAUUAGGAAAGUACUAAUAUAUUGGACUCCGAUAUCUUAUCUCAUGAUAGAAUCCUUGAAAACUGCCAUUAAUUUACCAACGUAAAAAUUACCAUCACAAUCUCAUUGGCUAAGGAACAAAAGCAAUAAUUGGAGGGUAAAUGGGAGCAAAGAAAUAAAGUGAAAGUAGUAUUCUUUUUUCCGUUGGACAAAACAGGCGCACACAAUAGCACAAAGGAAAGUAGAGAGACG
rnacentral:misc_RNA from 1 species